rnacentral:SRP_RNA from 1 species
GCCGGGCGUGGUGGUGCGUGCCUGCAGUCCCAGCUACUCCAGAGGCUGUGGCUGGAGGAUCGUUUGAGCCCAGGAGUUCUGGGCUGUAGUGCGCUAUGCCGAUCGGGUGUCAGCACUAAGUUUGGCAUCAAUAUGGUGACCCUCUGGGAGGGGGGGACCACCAGGUUGCCUAAGGAUGGGUGAACCGGCCCAGGUCGGAAAUGGAGCAGGUCAAAACUCCCGUGCUGAUCAGAAGUGGGAUCACGCCUGUGAAUAGCCACUGCACUCCAGCCUGGGCAACAUAGCGAGACUCGUCUCUU